ACGGAGGAUGCAGGCGUUAUCCGGAUUUAUUAGUUUAAAAGGGUGUUCAGGCUGCCUGGUAAGUCAGGGGUGAAAGUCGGUCGCUCAACGAUCGAAUUGCCUUUGAAACUGUCAGGCUCGAGUAUGGAUGCGGUAGGCGGAAUGUGUAGUGUAGCGGUGAAAUGCAUAGAUAUUACACAGAACACCGAUUGCGAAGGCAGCUUACCAAACCAGCACUGACGCUGAAGCACGAAAGCGUGGGGAGCGAACAGGAUUAGAUACCCUGGUAGUCCACGCCGUAAACUUUGCUCACUCGCUGUUGGCGAUAGACAGUCAGCGGCCAAGGGAAACCGAUAAGUGAGCCACCUGGGGAGUACGGCCGCAAGGUUGAAACUCAAAGGAAUUGACGGGGGCCCGCACAAGCGGUGGAACAUGUGGUUUAAUUCGAUGAUACGCGAGGAACCUUACCUGGGCUUAAAUGUGAAGUGCAUUGAUUGGAAACAAUCAUUUCCUUCGGGACCCUUUACAAGGUGCUGCAUGGUUGUCGUCAGCUCGUGCCGUGAGGUGUCGGGUUAAGUCCCAUAACGAGCGCAACCCCUAUUGUUAGUUACCAGCGCGUAAAGGCGGGGACUCUAGCGAAACUGCCGGUGUAAACCGCGAGGAAGGUGGGGAUGACGUCAAAUCAGCACGGCCCUUAUGUCCAGGGCUACACACGUGUUACAAUGGCCGGUACAGCGGGCAGCUAGGCAGCGAUGUCAUGCUAAUCCCGAAAGCCGGUCCCAGUUCGGAUUGGAGUCUGCAACCCGACUCCAUGAAGGUGGAAUCGCUAGUAAUCGCGCAUCAGCCAUGGCGCGGUGAAUACGUUCCCGGGCAUUGUACACACCGCCCGUCAAGCCAUGGAAGUCUGGGGUGCCUGAAGGCCGUAACCGCAAGGAGCGGUCUAGGGUAAACAGAUGACUGGG
rnacentral:rRNA from 1 species